GUCUUCAUAGCUCAGUUGGUGGAGCACCGCAACGCAAAUGCAGAGGCAAUGGGUUCGAAUCCUGUUGAAGAGCCG
rnacentral:tRNA from 1 species